rnacentral:misc_RNA from 1 species
AAGGAUCAUUAUUGAAUUUAAUGUAGAGUUGGUUGUAGCUGGCCUAAUUAAUAAUUUGGGCAUGUGCACACCUUCUCUUUCAUCCACACACACCUGUGCACCUGUGAGACAGAGUGGGAAUUUUAAUUUAAUUUAAUUGGACCCUCUGUCUACUUAAUUCACACAAACUCUAUUUAUUAUAAAAUGAAUGUAAUUGAUGUAACGCAUCUAAUACUAAGUUUCAACAACGGAUCUCUUGGCUCUC